GGCGGGAACGCGGAGAAAGUUAUAUGUCUUCAGUGAACUGCCGUUUCCCUCUGCGGAUUCUUCCACAAUACAGUAACAUCACAAAGAAAGCUGCCCCCUUUUUCUGAUUGUUUGUGCCUCCUCUUUAAUACAUGUGACUUGUAUGUGGCAGUGCAAGCGUUGUUCCAUCAGGGAGAGUAGUAGGUACAAAUUAUUGAAACACUGUAGAUUACAUCACCAUUAUGGACCCAGCCAGCGUUAUCUUUGUAUAUAUGUAAAUUGUCCAUGCACAUUUAAGACUUGGUGUGGACUAAAAACACAUGUUUACAAAUGUCAUUCUUCUCAUUUUAAACAGACAGCUGUCAGUUCAGUCACUUUUAGGUGCGAGUUAUGUGACUGCAGUGACCUUACCACAGAGAGAGAUUAUUUUGGACAUAUUGGAUCACAUUUACGAAAUAGUGAGACAGUAACUUGUGUAUUUUCAGGCUGCUCUUUCAAGACAAAUAUCUUUG